rnacentral:rRNA from 1 species
AUUGAACGCUGGCGGCAUGCCUAACACAUGCAAGUCGAACGGCAGCGCGGGUAGCUUGCUACCUGGCGGCGAGUGGCGGACGGGUGAGUAAUGCAUAGGAAUCUGCCCAGUAGCGGGGGAUAGCCCGGGGAAACCCGGAUUAAUACCGCAUACGCCCUACGGGGGAAAGCAGGGGAUCCUCGGACCUUGCACUAUUGGAUGAGCCUAUGUCUGAUUAGCUUGUUGGUGGGGUAACGGCCUACCAAGGCGACGAUCAGUAGCUGGUCUGAGAGGACGAUCAGCCACACCGGAACUGAGACACGGUCCGGACUCCUACGGGAGGCAGCAGUGGGGAAUAUUGGACAAUGGGGGAAACCCUGAUCCAGCAAUGCCGCGUGUGUGAAGAGGGCCUGCGGGUUGUAAAGCACUUUCAGUUGGGAAGAAACAGCAGCCGGCUAAUAUCCGGUUGUCUUGACGUAACCAACAGAAGAAGCACCGGCUAACUCCGUGCCAGCAGCC